rnacentral:rRNA from 1 species
GACGAACGCUGGCGGCGUGCUUAACACAUGCAAGUCGAACGGAAAGGCCCUGCUUUUGUUGGGUGCUCGAGUGGCGAACGGGUGAGUAACACGUGAGUAACCUGCCCUUGACUUUGGGACAACUUCAGGAAACUGGGGCUAAUACCGGAUAGGAGCUCCUGCUGCAUGGUGGGGGUUGGAAAGUUUCGGCGGUUGGGGAUGGACUCGCGGCUUAUCAGCUUGUUGGUGGGGUAGUGGCUUACCAAGGCUUUGACGGGUAGCCGGCCUGAGAGGGUGACCGGCCACAUUGGGACUGAGAUACGGCCCAGACUCCUACGGGAGGCAGCAGUGGGGAAUAUUGCACAAUGGGCGGAAGCCUGAUGCAGCAACGCCGCGUGCGGGAUGACGGCCUUCGGGUUGUAAACCGCUUUCGCCUGUGACGAAGCGUGAGUGACGGUAAUGGGUAAAGAAGCACCGGCUAACUACGUG